rnacentral:lncRNA from 1 species
GAGCACAAAAAUGUGAAAAAUCCUUCAAAGGAAGCAGGGGGCGAACAAUGGAGGAAGCCCUCAGCGUAAACAGGAAGUCCUACCGGUGAUUCCCAAAAUGGGUCCAGUGGUGUGAAUUUCACAGAGCAU